AGAGUUUGNUCAUGGCUCAGAACGAACGCUGGCGGCAUGCCUAACACACGCAAGUCGAACGAACCCUUCGGGGUUAGUGGCGCACGGGUGCGUAACGCGUGGGAAUCUGCCCCUUGGUUCGGAAUAACAGUUAGAAAUGACUGCUAAUACCGGAUGAUGUCUUCGGACCAAAGAUUUAUCGCCAAGGGAUGAGCCCGCGUAGGAUUAGGUAGUUGGUGGGGUAAAGGCCCACCAAGCCGACGAUCCUUAGCUGGUCUGAGAGGAUGAUCAGCCACACUGGGACUGAGACACGGCCCAGACUCCUACGGGAGGCAGCAGUGGGGAAUAUUGGACAAUGGGCGAAAGCCUGAUCCAGCAAUGCCGCGUGAGUGAUGAAGGCCUUAGGGUCGUAAAGCUCUUUUACCAGGGAUGAUAAUGACAGUACCUGGAGAAUAAGCUCCGGCUAACUCCGUGC
rnacentral:rRNA from 1 species